UACAUUAUAUUUUAUAUUAAAAUUGUAUUAAUUUAAAAUUAUUUCACUAAAUUUUAGAUCGAUAUUUCGCAUCGCUUGUCAUCAUCCCGAAACUGCCAUCGAGUACAAUAUUAUACGAAUAAACCAAAUGUGCACUGCGACGUACCACAACACAGUACCUAUAUGUAUUUUAAUAAUGCAUAAUGAGUUGUAUCUGGUCGUGUGACCGACCCAUCGUCAACAACUUUGAGAACAUUAUAAUAUUAUCGUCAUAGAGUAUAACGUCACCAGUGACCACUCAUUACUGCGAUCGAAUGCUCAACAGACACAUUAAAGUGAUCUGUAUACCGUCAACAAUGUAUAAAAUACAUAUUAAAUGGUUUCAUCUUAUAAUAAGAAAAAUACUACAUAAUCGUGUCAUUUAGAUUUGAAAAAGAACAGUUUAAAAUGCUUUGUAGCUCGUGUGCAAUCAGUGUAAUCACUUGGAACAUUUAUUAUAAUACAAUUUAUUUCGAAUCCAUCGCAAAGACAUCCUAACUAAUUCAAAAAUACUAAAGGGUACUAUUUGCAUAAAUCAAUAACAAAUUAAACCAUGAAUAUUCAACAAAAAGAACACGACUAAAAAUUGAUCGGUACCGGAUAACCAACAACGCCAAUUGACAGUGGUUACGAUUAAAGUUUUGAGGUGUUCAUGAAUACAGAUAAUUUGUAAGCUUUGCAAUCCCUCGCUGCUUAUUAUUUUUUAACUCAAAUAUUAAAUAUCAAAUAUAAUUAUUUGAUGAUGAUAAUAUAAUAAAUUGUUUAUUUCUGUAUGAAUAUAUCAAAUGAUUUUUUUAUGAUAUUUUAUUUGCAGGAAACCUAAUUUAAAAAGCAGAAAUGUAGAAUAAUUUAUAAAGCUAUUAUUAUAAUUUU